GGUUAAGCGACUAAGCGUACACGGUGGAUGCCCUGGCAGUCAGAGGCGAUGAAGGACGUGCUAAUCUGCGAUAAGCGUCGGUGAGGUGAUAUGAACCGUUAUAACCGGCGAUUUCCGAAUGGGGGAAACCCAGUGUGUUUCGACACACUAUCAUUAACUGAAUCCAUAGGUUAAUGAGGCGAACCGGGGGAACUGAAACAUCUAAGUACCCCGAGGAAAAGAAAUCAACCGAGAUUCCCCCAGUAGCGGCGAGCGAACGGGGAGGAGCCCAGAGCCUGAAUCAGUGUGUGUGUUAGUGGAAGCGUCUGGAAAGGCGUGCGAUACAGGGUGACAGCCCCGUACACAAAAAUGCACAUAUUGUGAGCUCGAUGAGUAGGGCGGGACACGUGGUAUCCUGUCUGAAUAUGGGGGGACCAUCCUCCAAGGCUAAAUACUCCUGACUGACCGAUAGUGAACCAGUACCGUGAGGGAAAGGCGAAAAGAACCCCGGCGAGGGGAGUGAAAAAGAACCUGAAACCGUGUACGUACAAGCAGUGGGAGCCUCUUUAUGGGGUGACUGCGUACCUUUUGUAUAAUGGGUCAGCGACUUAUAUUCUGUAGCAAGGUUAACCGAAUAGGGGAGCCGAAGGGAAACCGAGUCUUAACUGGGCGUUAAGUUGCAGGGUAUAGACCCGAAACCCGGUGAUCUAGCCAUGGGCAGGUUGAAGGUUGGGUAACACUAACUGGAGGACCGAACCGACUAAUGUUGAAAAAUUAGCGGAUGACUUGUGGCUGGGGGUGAAAGGCCAAUCAAACCGGGAGAUAGCUGGUUCUCCCCGAAAGCUAUUUAGGUAGCGCCUCGUGAAUUCAUCUCCGGGGGUAGAGCACUGUUUCGGCAAGGGGGUCAUCCCGACUUACCAACCCGAUGCAAACUGCGAAUACCGGAGAAUGUUAUCACGGGAGACACACGGCGGGUGCUAACGUCCGUCGUGAAGAGGGAAACAACCCAGACCGCCAGCUAAGGUCCCAAAGUCAUGGUUAAGUGGGAAACGAUGUGGGAAGGCCCAGACAGCCAGGAUGUUGGCUUAGAAGCAGCCAUCAUUUAAAGAAAGCGUAAUAGCUCACUGGUCGAGUCGGCCUGCGCGGAAGAUGUAACGGGGCUAAACCAUGCACCGAAGCUGCGGCAGCGACACUAUGUGUUGUUGGGUAGGGGAGCGUUCUGUAAGCCUGUGAAGGUGGCCUGUGAGGGUUGCUGGAGGUAUCAGAAGUGCGAAUGCUGACAUAAGUAACGAUAAAGCGGGUGAAAAGCCCGCUCGCCGGAAGACCAAGGGUUCCUGUCCAACGUUAAUCGGGGCAGGGUGAGUCGACCCCUAAGGCGAGGCCGAAAGGCGUAGUCGAUGGGAAACAGGUUAAUAUUCCUGUACUUGGUGUUACUGCGAAGGGGGGACGGAGAAGGCUAUGUUGGCCGGGCGACGGUUGUCCCGGUUUAAGCGUGUAGGCUGGUUUUCCAGGCAAAUCCGGAAAACCAAGGCUGAGGCGUGAUGACGAGGCACUACGGUGCUGAAGCGACAAAUGCCCUGCUUCCAGGAAAAGCCUCUAAGCAUCAGGUAACAUCAAAUCGUACCCCAAACCGACACAGGUGGUCAGGUAGAGAAUACCAAGGCGCUUGAGAGAACUCGGGUGAAGGAACUAGGCAAAAUGGUGCCGUAACUUCGGGAGAAGGCACGCUGAUAUGUAGGUGAAGCGACUUGCUCGUGGAGCUGAAAUCAGUCGAAGAUACCAGCUGGCUGCAACUGUUUAUUAAAAACACAGCACUGUGCAAACACGAAAGUGGACGUAUACGGUGUGACGCCUGCCCGGUGCCGGAAGGUUAAUUGAUGGGGUUAGCGGUAACGCGAAGCUCUUGAUCGAAGCCCCGGUAAACGGCGGCCGUAACUAUAACGGUCCUAAGGUAGCGAAAUUCCUUGUCGGGUAAGUUCCGACCUGCACGAAUGGCGUAAUGAUGGCCAGGCUGUCUCCACCCGAGACUCAGUGAAAUUGAACUCGCUGUGAAGAUGCAGUGUACCCGCGGCAAGACGGAAAGACCCCGUGAACCUUUACUAUAGCUUGACACUGAACAUUGAGCCUUGAUGUGUAGGAUAGGUGGGAGGCUUUGAAGUGUGGACGCCAGUCUGCAUGGAGCCGACCUUGAAAUACCACCCUUUAAUGUUUGAUGUUCUAACGUUGGCCCGUAAUCCGGGUUGCGGACAGUGUCUGGUGGGUAGUUUGACUGGGGCGGUCUCCUCCUAAAGAGUAACGGAGGAGCACGAAGGUUGGCUAAUCCUGGUCGGACAUCAGGAGGUUAGUGCAAUGGCAUAAGCCAGCUUGACUGCGAGCGUGACGGCGCGAGCAGGUGCGAAAGCAGGUCAUAGUGAUCCGGUGGUUCUGAAUGGAAGGGCCAUCGCUCAACGGAUAAAAGGUACUCCGGGGAUAACAGGCUGAUACCGCCCAAGAGUUCAUAUCGACGGCGGUGUUUGGCACCUCGAUGUCGGCUCAUCACAUCCUGGGGCUGAAGUAGGUCCCAAGGGUAUGGCUGUUCGCCAUUUAAAGUGGUACGCGAGCUGGGUUUAGAACGUCGUGAGACAGUUCGGUCCCUAUCUGCCGUGGGCGCUGGAGAACUGAGGGGGGCUGCUCCUAGUACGAGAGGACCGGAGUGGACGCAUCACUGGUGUUCGGGUUGUCAUGCCAAUGGCACUGCCCGGUAGCUAAAUGCGGAAGAGAUAAGUGCUGAAAGCAUCUAAGCACGAAACUUGCCCCGAGAUGAGUUCUCCCUGAGACUUAGAGUCUCCUGAAGGAACGUUGAAGACGACGACGUUGAUAGGCCGGGUGUGUAAGCGCAGCGAUGCGUUGAGCUAACCGGUACUAAUGAACCGUGAGGCUUAACCUU
rnacentral:rRNA from 1 species